rnacentral:rRNA from 1 species
GACGAACGCUGGCGGCGUGCCUAAUACAUGCAAGUCGAACGCUGAAGGAGGAGCUUGCUUCUCUGGAUGAGUUGCGAACGGGUGAGUAACGCGUAGGUAACCUGCCUGGUAGCGGGGGAUAACUAUUGGAAACGAUAGCUAAUACCGCAUAAUAGUAGAUGUUGCAUGACAUUUGCUUAAAAGGUGCAAUUGCAUCACUACCAGAUGGACCUGCGUUGUAUUAGCUAGUUGGUGGGGUAACGGCUCACCAAGGCGACGAUACAUAGCCGACCUGAGAGGGUGAUCGGCCACACUGGGACUGAGACACGGCCCAGACUCCUACGGGAGGCAGCAGUAGGGAAUCUUCGGCAAUGGACGGAAGUCUGACCGAGCAACGCCGCGUGAGGGAAGAAGGUUGUCGGAUCGUAAAGCUCUGUUGUAAGAGAAGAACGAGUGUGAGAGUGGAAAGUUCACACUGUGACGGUAUCUUACCAGAAAGGGACGGCUAACUACGUG